rnacentral:rRNA from 1 species
AUUGAACGCUAGCGGCAUGCCUAACACAUGCAAGUCGAACGGAGUGGGGAACGGGUGGGUGAUGUAUCUGAAGGUGCCCAGUAGCGGGGGAUAACUACGCGAAAGAGUAGCUAGUACCGCAUCCUUUUGAAGCGGUGGGUAUCGGAUUAGCUAGUUGGUGGGGUAACGGCUCACCCAGGCGACGAUCCGUAGCUGGGUUGAGAGGACGACACGCCACACUGGUACGGAGACACGGACCAGACUCCGACGUGAGGCAGCAGUGGGGAAUUUUGGACAAUGGGCGAAAGCCUGAUCCAGCCAUGCCGCGUGUGCGAUGAAGGCCUUCGGGUUGUAAAGCACGUUUGGCAGGAAAGCGUUACCUGCAGAAUAAGCACCGGCUAACUCCGUGCCAGCAGCCGCGGUAAUAC